rnacentral:other from 1 species
UUGGAGCUACCCGGUGCGUCAGCGUCUUCAUCACGCUCUGGGCCUAAUGUGUUCCUACGGGAGCUGUCUCUGUCCGGGCCCUGGUCCGGGUAUCACGGCGCCCACCUGCUCGUCAGGCCCCAGGGACAUAGUCGAUGUCAACGGCCAGGGUGGCUCCGCU